CCAGGCGGUCGGGCGAUCGCGGCGGUCCUUCGGGGCCGGCGAGGAAAGUCCGGGCUCCACGAAACGACGGUGCCGGAUAACAUCCGGCGGCUCCGGUCCGCCGGGGUCAGGGACAGUGCAACAGAGAUCAGGUCGCCAAAGGCUUCGGCCCUAAAGCUUCGGCGAGGCGAACAGUGAAAGGGUGCGGUAAGAGCGCACCGCGUCCCCGGCAACGGCGGGCGGUCCAUGCAAACCCCACCGGGAGCAAGACCGAAUAGGGGCGGCGCGCGGUUUCGGCCGCAGGGCAUGUUUCGGCCCCGUCGCCCGGGUUGGUUGCUGGAGGCGGCGCGCAAGCGCCGUCCAGAGAGGAAUGAUCGCCCAUCCGCCCGCACGUCCCUCGGGAUACGGCGGCGGUGGACAGAACCCGGCUUACAGACCGCCUGGCAUG
rnacentral:RNase_P_RNA from 2 species